UUUGUGAUGAUGGAAAACAUAAGGCAAAGACUCUUCCUGAUCCUGUUGAAGAGACCAAACAAUUGAUACCAGUCCUUGAGUCUUACCUUGAACAAAGAGGAGUGGAUCUUCCAGCAGGGUAUUUGUCAUGCAAAGUUGUACUUCCAAAUCCCAAAUUCCGUACAAUUGACUCGGGGUUAUUUCCUUCUGAAGUUAUUACCUACGACCAGUGGAUGCAGCUGAAACCGGAACACAAUUCCUUCUCUGGCUGGAUGAAAGGCAAAUUUCGUGGAAAGAAAGAAUUGCAGGAAGAACCUCUGGAUCAAAAGCUUAAAGCUAUCCUUGGCACUGCACCAAUGUGGGAUAAAUUGGAGCUCAAAGGGAAAUAUAUACUUGGAGACUUUCUGGAAUUCAAGGGCAAGGAAGAAGAUAUUGACUAUUUGAGAGAUAUCAAACGGUCAAAAAUUAGUCAUCUGACCACUCAAAAGACAAGCAUGCUUGGAUUUGCUCCUACAAGGCUGCAAGUACUGUACGCUCCACGUGACUAUCGAAGUGGGGGCACAGCUUCAGCUUCAGAAUGGAGGGAAGUGACAGUAAGAUCAAGCACAGAGAUUUUGUUUCAACCUCAAAAUUCUACGAAAGUUCGCAAGUUUAAACUCUCUUCAGUUAUCUCCUUGACCCUCAGUGCUUAGAGAGAUGGCCUUGAAGUAUCUAUCACUUUGCAUGGCUGCUGUACUGAAGCUGCAUAUAUACAAAUAGUUUCAAG
rnacentral:misc_RNA from 1 species